CAGGGGGCUGCUGCUGCCAGGGGCGGGGCUGGAAGACCAACUAUGCUAGCUGUGUCUAGGGAACUCUGAAAUGUUGAUCGUAUGUCGCUCACGCUUCCUGCCGAGUCUGCACCAUAUGCUCGUCUGUUUGCUAUGAGAUAAUCUGGGAGAGAAAGCAUUAUCAUCUAAAAUGUGACUUGUCAGAAAAUAAACAAGAGAGGGAGAACUCAGAGUGGAAGGGACAGGCAAUUUUUAAGCUGAUAGAAAACAGCAGCUGGAUUUAAGAAAUGGAUCACUUGCUUACAAAAGCAACAGACUCAUGGAGAAAGGCAUUAAGGGAACUAUUGGGGAGGAGGGGGAGAGACAGCAAGAGAGAGAAGAGAGAGCCAUACAAAGUGAAAGUGCCAGGAAAAUGAAAUGCAAGAGUCAAAAUACUUGGCAGAAAGCAAUUCUUUAGAUGCAGAAAAGUAUCAUCUUAUCUGAGGGAGUGUGGAGUAUAGACUGCCAGCCAUACAAUCUGUCACACUGUCAGCAGUGACGCCACUUACAGGAAAUGUGCAAACCCCAAAUGCAUUGCAUGGAGACCAAGACAAAGAGAUUGCUUUUUAAGACCCAUUGACACAAACAGAAUGCUUUAAAAUUGCAUGCUGUACCAGACAAACAGGAAAUUGAAUUCUAUCUUGUAGCUGCACAAGCUAGGGCCAGAAUAGCAUCAAACAAACAAUAAAUUGAAUGUUAUGGAAAA